rnacentral:rRNA from 1 species
GGGUUGUGAGGUUAAGCGACUAAGCGUACACGGUGGAUGCCCUGGCAGUCAGAGGCGAUGAAGGGCGUGCUAAUCUGCGAUAAGCGCCGGUAAGGUGAUAUGAACCGUUAUAACCGGCGAUACCCGAAUGGGGAAACCCAGUGUGACUCGUCACACUAUCAUUAACUGAAUCCAUAGGUUAAUGAGGCGAACCGGGGGAACUGAAACAUCUAAGUACCCCGAGGAAAAGAAAUCAACCGAGAUUCCCCCAGUAGCGGCGAGCGAACGGGGAGGAGCCCAGAGCCUGAAUCAGCAUGUGUGUUAGUGGAAGCGUCUGGAAAGGCGCGCGAUACAGGGUGACAGCCCCGUACACAAAAGCGCAUGUGCUGUGAGCUCGAUGAGUAGGGCGGGACACGUGGUAUCCUGUCUGAAUAUGGGGGGACCAUCCUCCAAGGCUAAAUACUCCUGACUGACCGAUAGUGAACCAGUACCGUGAGGGAAAGGCGAAAAGAACCCCGGCGAGGGGAGUGAAAAAGAACCUGAAACCGUGUACGUACAAGCAGUGGGAGCACAGGUUUACCUGUGUGACUGCGUACCUUUUGUAUAAUGGGUCAGCGACUUAUAUUCUGUAGCAAGGUUAACCGAAUAGGGGAGCCGGAGGGAAACCGAGUCUUAACCGGGCGUUAAGUUGCAGGGUAUAGACCCGAAACCCGGUGAUCUAGCCAUGGGCAGGUUGAAGGUUGGGUAACACUAACUGGAGGACCGAACCGACUAAUGUUGAAAAAUUAGCGGAUGACCUGUGGCUGGGGGUGAAAGGCCAAUCAAACCGGGAGAUAGCUGGUUCUCCCCGAAAGCUAUUUAGGUAGCGCCUCGUGAAUUCAUCUCCGGGGGUAGAGCACUGUUUCGGCUAGGGGGCCAUCCCGGCUUACCAACCCGAUGCAAACUGCGAAUACCGGAGAAUGUUAUCACGGGAGACACACGGCGGGUGCUAACGUCCGUCGUGAAGAGGGAAACAACCCAGACCGCCAGCUAAGGUCCCAAAGUCAUGGUUAAGUGGGAAACGAUGUGGGAAGGCCCAGACAGCCAGGAUGUUGGCUUAGAAGCAGCCAUCAUUUAAAGAAAGCGUAAUAGCUCACUGGUCGAGUCGGCCUGCGCGGAAGAUGUAACGGGGCUAAACCAUGCACCGAAGCUGCGGCAGCGACACUGUGUGUUGUUGGGUAGGGGAGCGUUCUGUAAGCCUG